GUGGGGAAUAUUGGACAAUGGGCGAAAGCCUGAUCCAGCCAUGCCGCGUGUGUGAAGAAGGUCUUCGGAUUGUAAAGCACUUUAAGUUGGGAGGAAGGGCAGUAAGUUAAUACCUUGCUGUUUUGACGUUACCGACAGAAUAAGCACCGGCUAACUUCGUGCCAGCAGCCGCGGUAAUACGAAGGGUGCAAGCGUUAAUCGGAAUUACUGGGCGUAAAGCGCGCGUAGGUGGUUUUGUAAGUUGGAGGUGAAAUCCCCGGGCUCAACCUGGGAACUGCCUCCAAAACUGCAUGACUAGAGUACGGUAGAGGGUAGUGGAAUUUCCUGUGUAGCGGUGAAAUGCGUAGAUAUAGGAAGGAACACCAGUGGUGAAGGCGACUACCUGGACUGAUACUGACACUGAGGUGCGAAAGCGUGGGGAGCAAACAGGAUUAGAAACCCCUGUAGUCC
rnacentral:rRNA from 1 species